rnacentral:rRNA from 1 species
UACGGGGGGGGCAAGCGUUGUCCGGAAUUACUGGGUGUAAAGCGCGUGUAGGCGGCAGACCAAGUCGGCGGUGAAAGCGCCCGGCUCAACUGGGCGAGGUCCGUGGAAACUGGUCAGCUGGAGGACGGUAGAGGCGAGUGGAAUUCCCGGUGUAGUGGUGAAAUGCGUAGAGAUCGGGAGGAACACCUGUGGCGAAGGCGGCUCGCUGGGCCGGUCCUGACGCUGAGACGCGAAGGCGUGGGGAGCGAACGGG